rnacentral:rRNA from 1 species
GGCCAGACUCCUACGGGAGGCAGCAGUGGGGAAUAUUGCACAAUGGGGGAAACCCUGAUGCAGCGACGCCGCGUGAGUGAAGAAGUACUUCGUUAUGUAAAGCUCUAUCAGCAGGGAAGAAAAUGACGGUACCUGAGUAAGAAGCCCCGGCUAACUACGUGCCAGCAGCCGCGGUAAUACGUAGGGGGCAAGCGUUAUCCGGAUUUACUGGGUGUAAAGGGCGUGUAGGCGGGACUGCAAGUCAGAUGUGAAAACCAUGGGCUCAACCCAUGGCCUGCAUUUGAAACUGUAGUUCUUGAGUGUUGGAGAGGCAGGCGGAAUUCCGUGCGUAGCGGUGAAAUGCGUAGAUAUACGGAGGAACACCAGUGGCGAAGGCGGCCUGCUGGACAAUAACUGACGCUGAGGCGCGAAAGCGUGGGGAGCAAACAGGAUUAGAUACCCCGGUACCU